rnacentral:lncRNA from 1 species
GCCUCGACGGCCUCGUCUAUGCAAGACUGCAACUCCAGUCACUCACACUCACACCUCACACUCACACUCACACUCACACUGCCAGUUCGCCUCCAUUGAGUCCGCCCGUACGCCGCCGGUCGCCUCCAGGAUCCGCCGCUCCAGCAACUUGUCUAGUAUUAGUAACUAUAGUUGUCUCCAUUCUUCGGUUCAUUUCUAAAAAUUUUCCAUUGAUUUGAUGAAUUUUAUCAACUGAUAUAUAUAUAUAUAUAUUGUUAGAUCUGUAGAAUUUAAUAGAUUUUAGAUUUUUAGUGGUGACCUCAUCUGGUUCCUAUGGAACACGAAAACUGGGAAGGAAAAUGAAGAGUCAAAUGCUCAAAUAUAAAAGUGCACUGUCUUCUCUUCUGGGAAACUAGCGAAUUAGGCAGGCUUGUAUAUAAUUCAUCAGAUUGUCUAUAUUUUGGCAUGAUUACCAUUUACCAGCUGGACACCAUGAUCUGUUACUUCAUUUCAAACCAUAUUUUAUCCAUUGUUUUGUUCAUAAAUUUGUAUUUACCUGAGGCACGUUAAGACACAUUUAUGAAAUUCUUUUGUAAAUGUAUGAUCGUCAAAUCAUAUGCGGAUCUAUUACAGUAUUAAUUGAAGGAAUUGAAUCAAUUGAUUUGGAUAACUUCUUAUAAUGUGAAAAUGGCCUAAAUUUAAUUUUAUGUAAAUUUGAUAAUGUGUAAGUUAAAGUAUCAUAAUGAUUAUUUAGAAAUAAAGAGCGCAAUAAAUUUUGUGUCAUAUCACAAAUAUAAUGUGACCUUAAGUAGUGUAUAAAUAUUUUCUAUAAUAUAUUUGGUUGUUGUUUUAAUGUUAGGUUUUAUCUAACAAUAAGUCGCAUAAUAUACUGUUGAAUUUUACAUUUACGUUGAUUUCGCUGGGGGCCCAAUUUAUGGAAUUCGCCUAAGGUCCUAACAAUCGCAAGGCUAGCCUUGCUAAAACCCCGAAUUUCUUUUUCGAAACUAACUUCAAAAGCCAUUUGUUUUUCUUCAUCUUACCUAAAGUAGGCUUUUCAGAACCCAAUUAGCAAAAAUCCCAGAUUUUCUGGCGCAGGAAGAUUCUGCACAAUUCGACUUGUUGAAACAGAAGAUUUUGUCAUGGGUUUAUUUUAUAGGUGUUGCAGGAGUUGUAGCUUAUGUUCUUAAUGUGGCAUGGAUUGAUGGCUCCACUGGAUUUGGUAAACCCUUCAUUGAUGCUGUUUGGAGCAUUUCCGAGAGCCCUAAGGUUGAAUUUAGACACUGUUUGGUUCAGAUUGGUUCAACUUGUCUUGAUGAAAACUGAUAAAUUGGUUUUCUUUGAUACAAACAUGUCCAUCAUUUAUAAGUUGAAUUAGAUUUUUAUUCAAGUAGUCAUAAGCAUGUCGUAAUUAUCUUUACCAAACUGGCAGUUGAAGUACAAAUUUGAUAUGGGUUUGAAGCCUAAGUUCACACAUUUGUCUGGAGGUUUCUAAAGAACUGGAGUGCUGAUAGUUGGAGAUGAUCGAAUUAGAUGAAAAGAGAAGCUUGUUGCAUUCAGGUUAGUUGUUCCACUUAUGUCCACCUUACAAAGAAUUGAAAUAGGUAGUUUUAGUGUUUGAUUAAAUGCAUGUGAAAAAAAAUUCACUUUUAUAUGCUCUUGCAAUUAGUACUUGAAUGAUUAUAGGUAUGAUCUACAAACAUGGAGAUCUUAUAUUAACAUAAUAAUGAAGGCGUAUUAUCUUAUAAGAUGUAAAAGGAUACAGCAGAGAGCCAUGGAAAGGGAGCUAAUGACACAGUGUCUCGUCUUUUACCACAAACCCCUCCAAUUUCUGCAGCAGACGCUCUGCUCUUUGGUUAUGAUUCUGCGAGGCUGAUAAAUCAAAAAUGUAGUCGCAGGAAUUGUACCCCGUCGCGAUCAAUACAACUUGGUUUAGCUGAUUUAGUAAAAGUAUUGAGUUAAAAAAUGGCAGUACCUGUGGAGUAGAAAUAAAUAUUAAUUUUUUUAAGUUAUGGAAACGAAAAUAAUAUGCAGGAAUUAGAGGGUACAAACCUAAAGGAGGAAUUACAUUGGAGAGGAACUUGGAGAAGGAGAGUGGUAUUGAUGGAGUUCUAGAAAAAUGGGUUUGGUGUCGAUUAGCUCCAUCAAUAGACUAACAUCAUCUGAAACAUGUAAAAGAUGUUAGUUGAUACUUUUGUAAUGUAGAUACAUAUAUACAUAAUUAUACAUGAGUGUACAGAAAGAAGAAGGGACCUGUGUAAAGCUUAGAUGCGGCUGGAGUUUUCUUCUUUGUUGUCUGUAACUUUAAUAGGAUUCUGGGACUCUACACUGUGGUUUAAACACAGAAAUUAAUUAAUAUCCAGUCCAAUAUCUUAAAAAACAAAUCUUAAGUGCUAAUUCCACCUUAAAUACCAGUAAACUGUAGGGAAUACUUCUUGAAAUAAUAUUUUGUUUUUAUAGCAUGCUUUCAACUAGAAUUACCUCUUAAUACAACCAAAAUAACUUUAGCUAACUUGAAAUAAUAUUUAGAAAAAAAAAAAAGAGAAAUAAAAAAAUUUGAAGUCAUAACAAUAAACAUAUAUCUCUAAUCUUUGAAGUAUUCUUGGCCAAAAAGUAGGAAAAGUUUUGAGUCCACUUACAAAAUUAUUUUAUUGGGAUAUUGUGUUGUUAAAAAUGAGUUUGCAAAAAAGUGAUUUUCAAUAUCAAAAUCAAACAAUGGUUAAAUUUGUGAAAUAAUCCUGUUAUACAAUGUCUAUCAGUCAACAUUUUUUGAUUUUAUCAAUUCUAUGUGUUUUACUUUGUCUUGUUUAUAUUGAGAAGAAGUCCAUGGACUUCUCAACUUUAUCAGAAUUCUAAGUUGGUCUCCUUUAAUUAUAUUCUAUUCAUUUUAUUUGAAAUUCUUUUGGAUUAAAAUGGUAGAAGAAAUGUUGUUUCUUAGGAAUCUCAUCAAUGAGCAUGCUGGCGUGUGCUAUUUAGGGAAAGAAUGUAUCUGAUUGAAAUCUUUGUCGUGAGGCAAAUGUGUGAAGUGACUUGUUACAUAAUUAGUCUAAAAUGCAUUUAAAAAAUUAAUGCAAUUUAUAAGUAAAUAGGUGAAAAUGACAGGUUUAUAUCUUUUUGAUACUUCUCCGUCGUGAAUUUCCUAUAGAAGGCUGGCUUUUUAUCCCUUUGCGAGUGUUUACCAAAGCAAAUGGGAGAUCCACCUGAAACCAUUCCUUUUCCGCUUAAGUUCCAGCGACUAGAUUCGUUACGGUUAAUAUAAGGCUAGUUUUUAUUUUAUUUUAUUUUCCCCCUCCCUUAAAAAUUGUUUAAAUCUUAUUAUUUAAGAUUUCAUUCCUUAGAGUUGUUAAACUUUUGAAAUUAAAUCACCAAAUGCAUGCAAGUCUUUUUCCAACUUCCUUUAAUCUUAAAGUAACUCUGACCAGAACAUUACUCUUCCUUGGUGUUCUCUGGGUCUGUAUUUUUUGUUAUUUGUUGCAGCUAUUAUACCUUAUCCCUUGGUUAUGAGUUUUUCCUUUUUGUUUUUCCAGGUGAGCUUGAAUAAAACAAGCGUUGUUUUAUUCUACACUGUCUUCGCAUCCUCCUCUUCCGGGUAAAUUUUUUCUUUUUGUC